rnacentral:lncRNA from 1 species
AAUCGCCGACCUGGCCAGCGUCAGGUCCAAGAGCCCAAAAGACAUGAGCCAUACGGUUAACCUAGUACUGCACCCUAACGCCUCAAUCCACAUCCCCAGCCGUGCAACUGCCCUUGGUUUUAGCCAAGCAAUGGUCCCUGCCACAACACUCAUCGGCCCAUACCAAGCCGACUUCUGACCCCUAUCAGCCGACAUGUCGCACCAUCCUGACUAUUGCCCCACAACAGCAUUAUCCAAGAAGAAUACAAGGAAAAUUAUUUUUUUUCUUACCUCGAUGUGGCGCAAAGAAGAUGAAGACGAUCAUUUGCACAUGCAAGUGUAGAAGAUUGCUAAGGAAGGGGGAACAAAUAUCAUCUAGCUUUCUCUCUUUUGUAUGGUAAAAUAAAUUGCUUUCUGAAGUUAAUUUAAUCAUCUACUUAAGGUAGACUUAAAUAAACUUUAGAAGUGAUUUAUUUCUCUUUCCUAGAAGGAUCUAAUUUCCAAUUAAAUAGGGAAUCUACAUCAAAAUAGGAAACAAUCCUAUGUUUUCUAAAGCAAGGGAUGAUCUCUACACCUGCUGCCAUUUCCUGCAAGCAACCCAACAGGUGUAAGGGCAUUUAUGGAGACAAGAAUAAUCAAGAAAAUUAUGGAGGCGACACAUGGACUUUUGGGUUAAAAAGAUAAAAUUACCCUUGAGGCACACCGGGAUUCCCACGCGUAUGCAACGGAUAAUAACGGCUCAAUCGAAGUCAAAGAUGAUCAAAAUGGUAUUUAUUCAAAACCUUCUCACCACUCCUCAUCAAAUCCUCACCCACAAGGUGACUCUCAAUUAUUCUUUUCAAAUUGGGAUUAAUUACCAAAAUUAAUUGAUUAAUUACCUAACUGAGCAUAAUAUCUUGCAAUUAGAGCCAAAUUGCCACCAUAAGUGGCUGGUCCCUAUUUCCCCAAAUAAGGUCGGCCACACCUUUAUAUAUGGCCCCUCAUUUCUCCAAAAACCUAAGUUCAUUCUCCUCCUAAAAUUCUAAAAACACUCUCUCUCAAAUUCUAACUUUGGCAUUAGAGAUUCUUUGGCCAAAGCCCCCCCCCACACAUUCAUCGUGGGCGCGUGAGGUUCUUGGCUUUGAUCUUAGGUGUUAAUUGUUUUGCAAGUGCAUUUUCAUCUAAGAAGAAGGAGGAAAUUUGCAUCCACAUAUUGAAUUUCACUUUACCAUGUUUAUCUAAACUUCACGAUUGAUGAAGCAAACAAACUGCUUCAUAUCUUCCAAGACAAAAGGGUGUCUACAAAAAAUGAAUUCAGAAAAGGUGAAAGAAGGUUGUUCUUGAAAGUUUAGUAAAUUAUUUUGAGUGUCUAGAUAAAUGUGUAAAAAUAAAUUAGGCGCCCAUAAAAAUAAGAGCAUGCGGAAAUAAAACUUGAGUGUGCAUAAAACCACUGAAAAUCUCUCUCUACAGAUUCUCAUUGUUCGUGGCGGGAAUUUCCGUGGGGAAUGCUUCCUGGCCGACGAGCACACAGCUCCCCGAGAGGUUGGCGCCGGUUGAUGCUUUCUGUCGGGCUUCUGCUUUACUGGCGGGCUU